ACUCAAAUGAAUUGACGGGGGCCCGCACAAGCAGUGGAGCAUGCGGUUUAAUUCGAUGUUACGCGAAAAACCUUACCAACCCUUGACAUGGUGGUCGCGGGUCGCAGAGAUGCUUCCCUUCAGUUCGGCUGGACCACACACAGGUGUUGCAUGGCUGUCGUCAGCUCGUGUCGUGAGAUGUUGGGUUAAGUCCCGCAACGAGCGCAACCCCCAUCCUUAUUUGCCAGCGAGUUAUGUCGGGAACUAUAAGGAAACUGCCGGUGAUAAGCCGGAGGAAGGUGGGGACGAUGUCAAGUCAUCAUGGCCCUUAUGGGUUGGGCUACACGCGUGCUACAAUGGUAGCUACAGAGGGAAGCAAAACGGCGACGUGGAGCGAAUCCUUAAAAGUUAUCUCAGUUCGGAUUGCACUCUGCAACUCGAGUGCAUGAAGUUGGAAUUGCUAGUAAUCGCGGAUCAGCACGCCGCGGUGAAUACGUUCCCGGGCCUUGUACACACCGCCCGU
rnacentral:rRNA from 1 species